rnacentral:rRNA from 1 species
UGGGGAAUAUUGGACAAUGGGCGAAAGCCUGAUCCAGCCAUGCCGCGUGUGUGAAGAAGGUCUUCGGAUUGUAAAGCACUUUAAGUUGGGAGGAAGGGCAGUUACCUAAUACGUAAUUGUUUUGACGUUACCGACAGAAUAAGCACCGGCUAACUCUGUGCCAGCAGCCGCGGUAAUACAGAGGGUGCAAGCGUUAAUCGGAAUUACUGGGCGUAAAGCGCGCGUAGGUGGUUUGUUAAGUUGGAUGUGAAAUCCCCGGGCUCAACCUGGGAACUGCAUUCAAAACUGACUGACUAGAGUAUGGUAGAGGGUGGUGGAAUUUUCUGUGUAGCGGUGAAAUGCGUAGAUAUAGGAAGGAACACCAGUGGCGAAGGCGACCACCUGGACUAAUACUGACACUGAGGUGCGAAAGCGUGGGGAGCAAACA